rnacentral:sRNA from 1 species
CUCGCUCGGCAUUUACCUUAAAACCGCACACGUAUCGACACGGUAUCCUGGGUGCCCUUCGGGGUUGGAUGCUGGGAUGCGUGGAGGCCCAACC